GGUGUUUAGAGCAAUUCAAGACAAUGCAGAACGACGACAAACUUCCAUGUCAAUAAUGAAUGAAAAUCUGAAUGAAACUCAUUUUUUAUUAAAACGAUAAAGAAAUUCUUUAUAAUCCUUCGUUUUCAACACAGAUCAUUAUAUCUUCAACAAAUCCUUUUUCAGUUUAAUUCAUUCCGUCUUUGGAAUGACCAUCUGAGAUUGUUUUACCAUAAUGAGGUGCGAUUAUUCGGGGAACAAUAAUAAAUACUCCACUUUGUGUAGUUUUAUCAUUUAUUGGGGUUAGAUACCCUUAAGCAUUAUCAGAAUUGUAGAUUUUUAUUUAGGAAAGAAAGCAUUAAUGUUCAAGGUCUUCGUAACUCUCGAGGAAUAAAUGAGGCUUUAUUUAUUCAAUCUGAUUUUUAGCACUCGCUUUGCUCAGAAAUUUCAAUAAAUCUAUUCCUGUUUUCUGUCAUACAAUGAAAUUCAAAAUAGUCUUUUACAAACAAAUGUAAUCAUUUCAAUAGCAUUUCUUCAUACCAACGAUUUUCAGAAACCUGGAUUUCGUCACACCGUCACACCUUGAUUUUGUGGUGUUCCAGGUUUAUCAGAUAAAAGGCUUCAGUUGUUCGGAAAUACUUGAAAUAUUCGUCUCAUUCAACGUGACUUCCUAAUCUUCUACUGUUUGACUGCUCUUUGGUCCUUGGCUCUGACGUCAUAUAUGAACCCAUACAAUGGUUGCGUCAUUAUAUUUCUUGGUAAUCAUGCUAGCACAACACCCAUGCGGCCAUAUCGCAUGGCAUAGAAUAUUGUAUGGGUAUAUAUACGCAUGGAUAUGGGGAUUCAAUCGUCAGUUGUAAAUUGAUUCGCCACUGGCAACGAUUGUCUCGUCGACUAGCAACUCCCGGUAGACAGGAAGAUGAAGACCUCACUCGUGGUUGCCGUCGUUUUGUUCACAUUGCAUGCAUGCUCCAAUAUCGCGUAUGCUGAUCCACUUGUCGCCUGUCCUGGCGAAGUCUCUAAAGGCUGUCCCUAUCCCCAAGGGCUAUUCCCCGUCUAUUUCUCUCAUCCAAAUGACUGCUCAAAGUUCUGUGAGUGUGGCAUGGAGGCCAUAGCCUGGGAAGUCUCUUGUAUCCCUGGCCUACUCUGGAACGAAGAUGUGCACGCCUGCGACUGGGCUGCUAACGUUGAUUGUGGCGAUAGAAGAAGGCCAUGAGUAACUACACUUCAAAUCUUUAUAACGGCCUACCUUCAGGAGAGGCGGUUAUCGUGAGAAGAAAUCGAGAUAGCCAGACAUCCAGUUCUCCAUCAAAAUCUUGAUUCAUUGUAAAGCCUUUCAUUGCCAAGAGAGGUUGUCCUUCUCUAUUGUAUUUAUCCAUACGUAGUUUGCAAAUUAAUUUCUUCCAAGUUCUUUAAUAAUGUAUCAGAAUCGAGUAAGGUACUAUAUACGUAUUAUCAAUUUCAUUCCUUUUAUAGGAAAUUUAGUUCUGUAUUUCGUGCAUAAUUCCUUGGUGACUGGUUUUGUAUAAGAUCAUUUCCAUUUAAUGCAUCUUGACUGGUGUGCGUAUUUUCAGCGCAUCUAAUUCAAGAAUAGGAAAAUAAUUGGAACUGUUUACUUUCGAAGUUCACUUUUCAACUUCAAUUAUAUCUUUCCCUUUUCUAUCAUUUUUCUUUUUUACCCAAAAAUGUAUCGUUUUAUCUUUACGAACGGGUUACUUCUUCACGAUUUUUCUUAAAUUCAGUUAGGUGAAAUUUCACCUCACUAACCUUAUAUAAACAAAGUUUUCUAUACAAUUACCUAAAGAAACCCGUAUAAUAAAAACUAACUCAAUGUUACAAGUAUUUACAUUUCUGUUGCAUAUGCAUCAAGUAUACCAGAGAAUAUAUAAAACUAGUCUUAUAAUUGUUGCUAAUAAUUUAUCACAGCAAUAACAUCGUAUGUUCAGUUCAGUGAUCGAAUUUUAUUUAGUGUGUGAAUAACGAAUUAGACAGCGUUGAAAGACUAUUUAGAAAAUGAGUAUUAGAUCUCAAAGAAACUGAUUAGAUGAACGCUCACAAUACUGAGGCAAUUGCUUAAGGAAUUAGUCUGUUGCAAAGUCUCCAGUCAUUUGAAUCGUAAGAUGAUGACUCAUCACCACAUUUACUUCGUAAAAGAUUCUUAAAACACAUACAUAUGUUCAGUUUGGUAUUGAUAAAAAUGGCAAAACCCCUUGAUAACGAUAAUCCAGAGGAGUAUAAAUGAUUUACGGUAAUGUAAUAUAAGUGAUAAGGGGUAAACUACUCGACAAUACUAAUCCAGGAGGAUAUAAGAGACUGAUAUGCAUAUCCAUUAUAGCCUCAACUGCGGAGACGGGGAGCUGACUUCUUGUGUUAAGUGAUGUCAUGGAUUUGGUCUUAAUCACGGCCGGGUAACAAAUUCGUUUUCUUAAUAACGAGAAAAAUAUUCGGUUUUAGAUCAGGAUGUGAGCAGAGACAUAUGAUCCUUCCAGCCUCGCCCUAUAUUGAAUAAAUAUCGUCCCGCUACACAAUGAUGUUAGGAAUAUGCCGUCACAAGUUAACGAGGAUCCACAAACACAGCCUGCACAUACACUACAAACUUCGUAUCCUAUUUUCGCCAUUCGAAAACCUCUCUACUUAACAAAUAAGAAACAAACAACUAUAGGCAUAAAAAAAUUCAGGCCAUCAAAUAAUAACGAGAUAGUCCGGUUAUAAUUAAAUAUGGAGUGUUGUUCCUUUAAGUUUAUUUGCUGCCCUAUCAUCUUUAUUAUACCCGUUGCUUUUAAUAUAGCUUUUAUGAACCUGUUAACCCAUAGCAUUUAACUAAUAAGAUUUAAUACCAUAAAAGAACUGGAUCUGUUAGCUAGUACAAAACUCCUUACUGCAUAAUAAUUAAGUUUAGCCUUACGAAUUUCAAAGCUUGACAAAUACCUAUUCAUAUGUUGAUACUUUGGUUUAUCAUUAUUCCACUUUACAGUGUUUAAAUAUUUCGUGUUAUUAUUAUUAUAAAUGUUCUUUGUUUGCAAUAAUGGAUUGAUAUAAAAUUGAAUAUUAAUAGCUUCUACGAAAAUGUUAAGUUUCUGUAAA